rnacentral:sRNA from 1 species
UAAUGAAGGAGUAAAAAGAAGCCCUACAGUCAUAGGACUUCUCAUAGCAGAACCGUUUAAGACGGUUGACAUUUUAGAUGUGAUA